AACACAUACAACGUAAAGCUUGAAUUAUUGCUUUUUUAUUGACAUUUGAAAAAAAAUUUCUUUGAUCUCCUGUGAUCAGCUCGCAUUAAUGUGUAACGCAACACUUUUGUUAUGUUCUAUGUUUCACUGUUUAAUUUUUAAAAAUAUUUAGCAAACAUAAACAAUACAUCAUGUUUAAAAAAAUUAGUCUUACCCCACGACAGUCCUUUCCUUUCUUGUGACACUGGCCGUGCUUGUGACCGUCCUUGUGCUUGUGCUUGUGUCCGUGGCCCUGUCCAUGACCCUGUCCAUGUCCAUGUCCAUGUCCUUGGCACUGUCCGUGACCCUGUCCAUGUCCAUGUCCAUGUCCAUGUCCUUGGCACUGUCCGUGACCCUGUCCAUGUCCAUGUCCAUGUCCGUGGCCCUGUCCAUGUUCUUGGCUGGGACCAUAACCAGGUCCAUGUCCUUGGUUGGGUCCGUAACCAGGUCCAUGUCCUUGGUUGGGUCCGUAACCAGGUCCAGGUCCGUGUUGGCCUCCGUACGGGCCGUGAGGCCGAGGGGGGUAGUUCAUCGGUGCGGUACCUGGAGGAUGUUGAGGGUAUCCCCCAGGCAUCUGCUGAGGGUUGUUGGGGUAACCAGGAGGGUACUGGUUUCCUAAACACAAGG
ensembl:lncRNA